rnacentral:misc_RNA from 1 species
UUUUUAUCCAAUAACAAAUAUCAUUACAACAAUAAAGAAAUUGGUAUUUCCGGGUUUUAAUCCAUUCCAAAUAAUUGUAUGGAUUCACAUCUGAAUGCAGCAAUCAAGGUUUGAUGUGCAUAGGGGACAUCAUAUGCCUAUAAUCAAAAACUUAGAUGCAACACCUCAACUCCUCCAAACCAGCGCUUUUUACAGAGAUUUAAAAAAGGUCUCUAGUUUAUAGCUUCUAAAACUCUUAUUUAUGAACUAAAAGUUGUAUGCUGUCAUUUUUCACCAUUCAUUUCACAAAGUUGCAUCAAAUUCCUAAUGACUCUCACCAUCACUUGAUCCAAGUCGAGCAUCCAAAUUGAAUUCCUCAGUCACCUCCCCAGCUAUCCUCCAUCUUUCAAGAACAAACUUUCCUUCCUUGUACUUUUGGCCUUUGUCAUGCGCUGCCACAUAUUUCCACCCAAGCAGUUGUCCACAGCAACAACAGAAUAUAUC